AAGCCAGGCUCAUGACUCAGUGGGGGAAGCAGUGUUUCUCCCUGAAUCAGCCCCAGCCAGGCCACAUCUGAGGCUUAGCCCAGCCAAGAGUCCAGCCACUGCCCAGCUGCCUGUGGACACACGGGCCCUGUGCUGUCUCAGCUGAGAGGUCCCCAUCUACUGACUCACUCGCACCUGGGGCUUCUUGGCUGGUCAUCUGGAAAGGUGAUGGGUCAUGCAUCUUCCUGACACACUGUGAAGCAGGAAGAAACAGGAACAGUAGCUCUGUGUUACACGUGAGGAGCGAGAAGCACCAACAUGGUUGCUGUCCUGGAACUCACAAAGCAGGCUGCCUGGGCUUGCCAGGGAAGCCCCAGGAAUCUGCCUGUCUCCAUCGUCAUCUCCCCAGUACUGGAGUUACAAGUGUGAGCCAACGCAACUGGCCUUUUCCCAUUGGCUCUGGGGAUGGACUCAGAUCCUCAGGCACUUGCCUGACUGGGCUUCCCUCUUCAGCCCCUUUCUUCCACAAUUCUUAGAUCAUUAUAAGUAAAACGUUAUUAGUGAAUAUGUAUCAUGUUUUUCUCAUGUAUUAUUGUUGUAUUAUUAUAUACGGAUAUAUCAUCAGAGACUCAUAAGAAUAUAAAAGAAAAAGUUACAGUUAUAUGCUCAGACAUUAGCAUUGGUUGUAACUGAUGUUGAGAUUGGAGAACAUUAUUUCCUUAUUUUGUGUUCUCUUAUACAUAACUUUGUAACACAAACAACAAAGACACUGCAAACAUGGAUCUGGCACAGGGUACUUCCCUGACUUAAGUACAAAAAAGAAAUUAAAUUUAAUAUCUAAAGUUCCUGAAAAUAUUUUAUAGUCACACAGCAUGGACCAAGUCUGUUUCAGGAUGUGUGCUCUGUUUCGGAUGAUUGACCAGCAAGCCCCAAGGAUCUGCCUGUCUCCACCACCCCUCGACCUCCUAGCAUUGGAACUGCAGACAGGAGCUGACACACCCAGGCUUUCACAUGGAUGCUAAGAAUGAUCUAACUCAGGUCUCAGGCUUCCACUGCAAGUGUUGCACCCACUGAGCCAUCCAUCCCGCCCCCUCUACUCUUCGGAAGUUUCCAACCCUAAUAUGGUUUCCGACAAUUGUGUCCAACAAUAAAUAUGUUUUGCUUUAGGGAGGAAA
rnacentral:lncRNA from 1 species